GAGGAACACAAGCUGAAGUGUUUGGAAACAGCACUUUGGCUGGACCAUGAGCCGAAGCCCGAAAGCAAGAAAUUUCCCUUCACUGUCAAAAUAGGCAUGACAAUGGAGGGAGGCAUAGUUCGGGGUAGAGGCUCUGCUUUGCAUACAGAAGGUCCAAACUUCAGUCUCUGGCAGCAUCUCCAGGUAGGACUGGGAAAGAUUUUGGAGAGUUGCUGCCAGUUGGUGUAAACAAUACUGGACUAAAGGAAUCAACAGCAUCAACUCUGAAGAUUGACAGAGAAUGGGGCGAACUCGUUGCCUGAUGGACAAGCCAAUUCAAUGAGGGUGUGUACUCAAAUUAGCUUUUAUUCAUGAUCAUGAAGGCAGAGUACAAGUCAGAAGUCUGACAAGCAUUGCGCACCCAACGUAUGCAGUUGCCAGUUUAUAUAGAUUAAAAGCAAGUAAGUAAAUCCAUCGACAUCCGUCAUUUGUGGUUAAACAUAUGUUUUCCUGUGGUGCCAAUUAGAGCCUUGGAUGUGAGUUACUGUUUGGCCUUUCUGCUGACCCUACUUCUUAUCAGCAUCUCCUGGUGCCAGCUAUUUUUCUUUCGGCUGAGUGGGGGAUUUGUCCCAUGACCCUGAUUAUUGUCUCCUGCCAGCUCUUGUAUUUUUACCUCUUGGCCAAUGGGCCUCACAUCCUUGACUCAAACAAUUUCAUUCUGGCCUACUGGCUUUACAUUCUGUUUAGGAGCCUGAACCAAACUUUUACACACUUAUUUGUGA